rnacentral:rRNA from 1 species
AUUGAACGCUGGCGGCAGGCCUAACACAUGCAAGUCGAGCGGAUGAAGGGAGCUUGCUCCUGGAUUCAGCGGCGGACGGGUGAGUAAUGCCUAGGAAUCUGCCUGGUAGUGGGGGAUAACGUCCGGAAACGGGCGCUAAUACCGCAUACGUCCUGAGGGAGAAAGUGGGGGAUCUUCGGACCUCACGCUAUCAGAUGAGCCUAGGUCGGAUUAGCUAGUUGGUGGGGUAAAGGCCUACCAAGGCGACGAUCCGUAACUGGUCUGAGAGGAUGAUCAGUCACACUGGAACUGAGACACGGUCCGGACUCCUACGGGAGGCAGCAGUGGAGAAUAUUGGACAAUGGGCGAAAGCCUGAUCCAGCCAUGCCGCGUGUGUGAAGAAGGUCUUCGGAUUGUAAAGCACUUUAAGUUGGGAGGAAGGGCAGUAAGUUAAUACCUUGCUGUUUUGACGUUACCAACAGAAUAAGCACCGGCUAACUUCGUG